rnacentral:rRNA from 1 species
AUUGAACGCUGGCGGAAUGCUUUACACAUGCAAGUCGAACGAUGAACCUUAGCUUGCCAAGGGGAUUAGUGGCGAACGGGUGAGUAAUAUAUCGGAACGUACCUUGUAAUGGGGGAUAACUAGUCGAAAGAUUAGCUAAUACCGCAUACGCCCUGAGAGGGAAAGUAGGGGAUCUUCGGACCUUACGUUAUAAGAGCGGCCGAUAUCUGAUUAGCUAGUUGGUGGGGUAAUGGCCUACCAAGGCGACGAUCAGUAGCUGGUCUGAGAGGACGACCAGCCACACUGGAACUGAGACACGGUCCAGACUCCUACGGGAGGCAGCAGUGGGGAAUUUUGGACAAUGGGCGCAAGCCUGAUCCAGCCAUUCCGCGUGAGUGAAGAAGGCCUUCGGGUUGUAAAGCUCUUUCGCAAGGGAAGAAAACUUACAUUCUAAUAAAGUGUGAGGCUGACGGUACCUUGAUAAGAAGCACCGGCUAACUACGUGCCAGCAGCCGCCGUAA